CAGUAGCCACGGUAAUACGUAGGUGGCAAGCGUUGUCCGGAAUUAUUGGGCGUAAAGGGCUCGCAGGCGGUUUCUUAAGUCUGAUGUGAAAGCCCCCGGCUCAACCGGGGAGGGUCAUUGGAAACUGGGAAACUUGAGUGCAGAAGAGGAGAGUGGAAUUCCACGUGUAGCGGUGAAAUGCGUAGAGAUGUGGAGGAACACCAGUGGCGAAGGCGACUCUCUGGUCUGUAACUGACGCUGAGGAGCGAAAGCGUGGGGAGCGAACAGGAUUAGAUACCCGCGUAGUCCCUGUCUCUUAUAA
rnacentral:rRNA from 1 species